UUAAGCGACUAAGCGUACACGGUGGAUGCCCUGGCAGUCAGAGGCGAUGAAGGACGUGCUAAUCUGCGAUAAGCGUCGGUAAGGUGAUAUGAACCGUUAUAACCGGCGAUUUCCGAAUGGGGAAACCCAGUGUGUUUCGACACACUAUCAUUAACUGAAUCCAUAGGUUAAUGAGGCGAACCGGGGGAACUGAAACAUCUAAGUACCCCGAGGAAAAGAAAUCAACCGAGAUUCCCCCAGUAGCGGCGAGCGAACGGGGAGGAGCCCAGAGCCUGAAUCAGUGUGUGUGUUAGUGGAAGCGUCUGGAAAGGCGCGCGAUACAGGGUGACAGCCCCGUACACAAAAAUGCACAUGCUGUGAGCUCGAUGAGUAGGGCGGGACACGUGGUAUCCUGUCUGAAUAUGGGGGGACCAUCCUCCAAGGCUAAAUACUCCUGACUGACCGAUAGUGAACCAGUACCGUGAGGGAAAGGCGAAAAGAACCCCGGCGAGGGGAGUGAAAAAGAACCUGAAACCGUGUACGUACAAGCAGUGGGAGCCUCUUUUAUGGGGUGACUGCGUACCUUUUGUAUAAUGGGUCAGCGACUUAUAUUCUGUAGCAAGGUUAACCGAAUAGGGGAGCCGAAGGGAAACCGAGUCUUAACUGGGCGUUAAGUUGCAGGGUAUAGACCCGAAACCCGGUGAUCUAGCCAUGGGCAGGUUGAAGGUUGGGUAACACUAACUGGAGGACCGAACCGACUAAUGUUGAAAAAUUAGCGGAUGACUUGUGGCUGGGGGUGAAAGGCCAAUCAAACCGGGAGAUAGCUGGUUCUCCCCGAAAGCUAUUUAGGUAGCGCCUCGUGAAUUCAUCUCCGGGGGUAGAGCACUGUUUCGGCAAGGGGGUCAUCCCGACUUACCAACCCGAUGCAAACUGCGAAUACCGGAGAAUGUUAUCACGGGAGACACACGGCGGGUGCUAACGUCCGUCGUGAAGAGGGAAACAACCCAGACCGCCAGCUAAGGUCCCAAAGUCAUGGUUAAGUGGGAAACGAUGUGGGAAGGCCCAGACAGCCAGGAUGUUGGCUUAGAAGCAGCCAUCAUUUAAAGAAAGCGUAAUAGCUCACUGGUCGAGUCGGCCUGCGCGGAAGAUGUAACGGGGCUAAACCAUGCACCGAAGCUGCGGCAGCGACGCUUAUGCGUUGUUGGGUAGGGGAGCGUUCUGUAAGCCUGUGAAGGUGUACUGUGAGGUAUGCUGGAGGUAUCAGAAGUGCGAAUGCUGACAUAAGUAACGAUAAAGCGGGUGAAAAGCCCGCUCGCCGGAAGACCAAGGGUUCCUGUCCAACGUUAAUCGGGGCAGGGUGAGUCGACCCCUAAGGCGAGGCCGAAAGGCGUAGUCGAUGGGAAACAGGUUAAUAUUCCUGUACUUGGUGUUACUGCGAAGGGGGGACGGAGAAGGCUAUGUUGGCCGGGCGACGGUUGUCCCGGUUUAAGCGUGUAGGCUGGUUUUCCAGGCAAAUCCGGAAAAUCAAGGCUGAGGCGUGAUGACGAGGCACUACGGUGCUGAAGCAACAAAUGCCCUGCUUCCAGGAAAAGCCUCUAAGCAUCAGGUAACAUCAAAUCGUACCCCAAACCGACACAGGUGGUCAGGUAGAGAAUACCAAGGCGCUUGAGAGAACUCGGGUGAAGGAACUAGGCAAAAUGGUGCCGUAACUUCGGGAGAAGGCACGCUGAUAUGUAGGUGAAGUCCCUCGCGGAUGGAGCUGAAACAGUCGAAGAUACCAGCUGGCUGCAACUGUUUAUUAAAAACACAGCACUGUGCAAACACGAAAGUGGACGUAUACGGUGUGACGCCUGCCCGGUGCCGGAAGGUUAAUUGAUGGGGUAGCGCAAGCGAAGCUCUUGAUCGAAGCCCCGGUAAACGGCGGCCGUAACUAUAACGGUCCUAAGGUAGCGAAAUUCCUUGUCGGGUAAGUUCCGACCUGCACGAAUGGCGUAAUGAUGGCCAGGCUGUCUCCACCCGAGACUCAGUGAAAUUGAACUCGCUGUGAAGAUGCAGUGUACCCGCGGCAAGACGGAAAGACCCCGUGAACCUUUACUAUAGCUUGACACUGAACAUUGAGCCUUGAUGUGUAGGAUAGGUGGGAGGCUUUGAAGUGUGGACGCCAGUCUGCAUGGAGCCGACCUUGAAAUACCACCCUUUAAUGUUUGAUGUUCUAACGUGGACCCGUAAUCCGGGUUGCGGACAGUGUCUGGUGGGUAGUUUGACUGGGGCGGUCUCCUCCUAAAGAGUAACGGAGGAGCACGAAGGUUGGCUAAUCCUGGUCGGACAU
rnacentral:rRNA from 1 species